UUAGCGUACAAACAGAGGUGCCACUUUAUUUGGAUCAUCAGGCUCCUGUUGAGGGAUAUCAAUACAAAGCUCCUGCAGUAUUAAGCUACCGAGCUACUGAACCUAAAGGUUGUUGACGGCGUUGAUUCAACUUUAUGGACAGUUUGGAGGCUGUACUGAGGGAACCCAGAUGUUGCCGUGGGUGUCGGGAGCCUGGCUGUAAGGAAUGUUCCAGAUCCAAGGCUGAUCUGAAAUCGGAGAGAAAAGAGGCAGAAGGCACGUAGAGGACUCCCAGCUCAUAUGAACGGACCAUCACCUGAGUGUUGUUCUUCUCCAGGGCGCCCCACGCUGCUUUGGACAGCAUUUGAAUGCUGCAUCACACAAGCAAAAAACAACAUCAAGUUCGUGCUGGAGGAACAUACCAAGUGCACGAGGGGGUCUGAACGAAGAGAGGAUUUCCCUAGGGUGGUCAAGGUGCGCUGAAAUUCCCUUGCCAACCA